CAUCCUCCUUUUUCUCUUUCUCUCUCCUUCCAGCUUCAGCUGCACACAGGUGCAGCUACAGGCAAGGCAUGGAGGACAAUCCUAGAGUUUGGGGAAGGGGGGAAGCUGUCACUUUCACAGGCUAAUAAAGGAGAAAUGAAUCCCUCUUCCAGCAAUAACAGGGUUAUUCUGCUUCUCCUAUCAAGGCAAGUUCCGGACCUUAAGAUACAGCUGGAGAAACAAGCAAAAAUAACCAACAAUGCAGCCGUCCUAGCUUUGACUCAGUGGUUCUGGAGGAUCCUGAAUUUGUUUUUAUACAUGCCAUGCUCUCUAAUUUGUCUGCACAUUUCGGAUGGAAAAUAGUUCAAAUAGUCAUAUUUUUGAAGAAUUGAUUGGCAAGUGCUUGAAUCUCUGGCUGGAUUAGAGGGUGAGCUUACCACAAACAGUGACUUCUUAUAAACACUCCACAUACCACUGAAGAAAGGUUGCAUUCAGAUUAACAAAGGCAAAAACCAAACAGAUCCAAAAGGAGUGCUUGACCGUCCUGCCAAGGUUAUCCGGGGGAGCAUCCCUGAUUUAUAAGCAUUCAUCAAAGCUUCUACAAAUGAUCACAAGAGAGUCCCAUAUAGGAUUGUAGCGUAUUUUAAAAUUAAAGAAUGCCACAAUGACCACAAUAA